rnacentral:lncRNA from 1 species
AAAACCCGACCCAGAAAUGGGCAAAAGAGUAAUUCACUUGAAGUUCAAAUAAACAAACAGAAGUUAGUGAGGUAGCUUAAGCCGGCUACCACUUAUUUCAUUUCUCUUUCAUUUCGGUGGUCUCUUAAUUCUGAUUUGCCGCCUCCUUCUCCUCCCUCCGCCACCACACGAUCCAAUCACAUACCACCAUCCCCACCGUCUUCGCCGCCCGCCGUGCUGACCCACCCACCGCAUUAAUUUUCCCCACACACACUAUAUUACUAAUUUAACAAAAAAAGAACAAAAAAAAAAAUGACCGCCGCGGCCGCCGAAGGAAGAAUCCUUCCCCACUUUGCUAACCUGCGCCCCUCCUCCUCCCGUCCUCUUAAACCUACCACCACAAACCACCGUCUCCUCCUCCUAAUCACCACCUCUAGCUCACAACUCACACCACAAUGUCCUCCGCCGUAGCCGCAGACUCCAGUUCUCGAAAAGUCCCUCCCCCUUGCUGGACGAGGGAGGAGACCGUCGAGCUAAUCAAAGCCUACCGCGACAAAUGGUUCGCCGUCAACCGUGGCAAUCUCCGCGCCCGUCCUCUUAAACCUACCACCACAAACCACCGUCUCCUCAUCCUAAUCACCACCUCUAGCUCACAACUCACACCACAAUGUCCUCCGCCGUAGCCGCAGACUCCAGUUCUCGAAAAGUCCCUCCCCCUUGCUGGACGAGGGAGGAGACCGUCGAGCUAAUCAAAGCCUACCGCGACAAAUGGUUCGCCGUCAACCGUGGC